rnacentral:SRP_RNA from 1 species
GGCUCGCACCUGUGCGACCCGGUCCCGUGAACCCCGUCAGGCCCGGAAGGGAGCAGCGGUAAGCGGGCCGCCGGGUGUGCCGCAGGCUCGACGAGCCCCU